rnacentral:rRNA from 1 species
UUGGACCCGGUAUGAAUGGUGUCACGAGGGUCUCGCUGUCUUAAGGAAGUUUCCAGUGAAAUUGAACUUGUAGUGAAGAUGCUACAUCUAAAUUGUUAGACAAGAAGUCCCCAUGGAACUUUACUGGAGACUUAUGUGGCUGACUUAAAUAGUUUUAAAAUGUGGUGUGACUCAACUAGGGUUAGAAAAGCUCACUUUUUAUUUUAAGAAAGGCAACUUAAAAAUAUAUGUUUUUGGGAUUGGAUAAGUGAGACAGUUUGGUUGGGGCGACCGCCUUUAAAAAAGUAAGAAGGCGGACGUUAAGAUGUAUGUUUAGUUAUGUCUGACUGCUAAGGGGAGACCCAACGCACGACAGUUGUCUUUGGAUGGUGGGUUAAAACCCCGGGCUCGA